rnacentral:rRNA from 1 species
CCUACGGGAGGCAGCAGUGGGGAAUAUUGCACAAUGGGGGAAACCCUGAUGCAGCGACGCCGCGUGAGUGAAGAAGUAUCUCGGUACGUAAAGCACUAUCAGCAGGAAAGAAAAUGAAGGUACCUGACUAAGAAGCCACGGCUAACUACGUGCCAGCAGCCGCGGUAAUACGUAGGGGGCAGUCGUUCUCCGGAUUUACUGGGUGUAAAGGGAGCGUAGACGGCGCUGCAAGUCCGGAGUGAAAGUCCAUGGCUUAACCAUGGUACUGCUCUGGAAACUGUAGAGCUUGAGUGCGGGAGGGGCGAGCGGAAUUCCUAGUGUAGCGGUGAAAUGCGUAGAUAUUAGGAGGAACACCGGCGGCGAAGGCGGCCUGCUGGACCGUAACUGACGUUGAGGCUCGAAAGCGUGGGGAGCAAACAGGAUUAGAUACCCGGGUAGUC